GUCCUUCACCAUGGCAACUCGGGCGUCGGGAGCGUGGGCUGCGAGCCGAGUGGGUGGGGGAGCCGCCGGGCUCUAUCCGCCAGCCCACGAGAAGUGACGCAGCUGAUUUGCCUAGAGCCUGGGAGUGUCACUGACGUGCCAUUUCCUGCCCUGACAGCAUCUCCGCUUCCGUCCUGAAACCUUUAUCAAGAAACAACUGUGCAGCCCACGAAUCCAUUCAGUCAAGAUGUAUUGAGUUUCUGCUAUGUGUACUGACUGCGGGGAAAACAGGAUUCUUGUCCUCGAGGAACUAGCUGGGGACUCGGGACAGAGUCAAACACAUGCAACAUGAGGCCUGGUAUGUUAGAUGGGCAGAGAGCCGGGACACUGCUGGCUGCGCAGGGAGAUGGGGGCCGGAACGUUUUUGAGGAGGAUGAGGCUUUGAUUUCUCUGGUCCAAUCCUCUCAGUGUCAAGGUGGGUAGGUG
rnacentral:lncRNA from 1 species